rnacentral:rRNA from 1 species
UACGGAAGGCAGCAGUGGGGAAUAUUGCACAAUGGGCGCAAGCCUGAUGCAGCCAUGCCGCGUGUAUGAAGAAGGCCUUCGGGUUGUAAAGUACUUUCAGUCGUGAGGAAGGUGUUAAGGUUAAUAACCUUAGCAAUUGACGUUAGCGACAGAAGAAGCACCGGCUAACUCCGUGCCAGCAGCCGCGGUAAUACGGAGGGUGCGAGCGUUAAUCGGAAUUACUGGGCGUAAAGGGCACGCAGGCGGUUAAUAAGUUGGAUGUGAAAUCCCCGGGCUUAACCUGGGAAUGGCAUUCAAGACUGGUUAGCUAGAGUCUUGUAGAGGGGGUAGAAUUCCAUGUGUAGCGGUGAAAUGCGUAGAGAUGUGGAGGAAUACCGGUGGCGAAGGCGGCCCCUGGACAAAGACUGACGCUCAUGUGCGAAAGCGUGGGGAGCAAACAGGGAUUAGAUACC